AUGGGGAAGGAGACGACAGGCCUUCGAGAACGGUUCCACAACGACUGGGAUGGUGGGGAUUCCCUGGGAGGGGGGAUCUCACCGAGGUUCCCCCACCCUCACCGUCCGCCCUCUAGUGAGGAGCUGUCCAGUACAACAACAGCCACACUGACGUGUCUGGCCAACAAGGGCUUCCCCUCAGACUGGACCAUGAGCUGGAAAGUGGACGGGACCAGCAAGAAGCAGGAGGCCAGUCCCGGGGUCCUGGAGAAGGACGGCCUGUACAGCUGGAGCAGCACACUGACUCUCACUGCCCAGGAGUGGACCAAGGCAGGAGAGGUGACCUGUGAAGCCCAGCAGAAAUCCCAGACGCCAGUCACCAAGACCCUGAGGAGGGCUGACUGUUCUGGGAGGACCCUCACUUCAAACGACACUACUUCUUCUUCCACCAUCUCUCCCCUCGUUGAAGAGAUGUGUGAGCAGCUGACCUUUAAAAAGGUUGAGAGCUGA